CCUACGGGUGGCAGCAGUGAGGAAUAUUGGUCAAUGGACGAGAGUCUGAACCAGCCACGUAGCGUGAAGGAUGACUGCCCUAUGGGUUGUAAACUUCUUUUAUCUGGGAAUAAAAUGUUCCACGGUCGGGCUUUUGUAUGUACCAUAUGAAUAAGGAUCGGUUAACUCCGUGCCAGCAGCCGCGGUAAUCCGGAGGAUCCGAGCGUUAUCCGGAUUUAUUGGGUUUAAAGGGGGCGUAGGUGGAUUUUUAAGUCAGUUGGGAAAGUUUGCGUGUCAACCGUAAAAUUGCAGUUGAAACUGGCAGUCUUGAGUACAGUAGAGGUAGGCGGAAGUCGUGGUGUAGCGGUGAAAUGCGUAGAUAUCACGAAGAACUCCGAUUGCGAAGGCAGUACACUGGACUGCAACUGACACUGAGGCUCGAAAGUGUGGGUAUCAAACAGGAUUAGAUACCCGGGUAGUC
rnacentral:rRNA from 1 species